rnacentral:rRNA from 1 species
GACGAACGCUGGCGGCGUGCUUAACACAUGCAAGUCGAACGGAAAGGCCCUGCUUUUGUGGGGUGCUCGAGUGGCGAACGGGUGAGUAACACGUGAGUAACCUGCCCUUGACUUUGGGAUAACUUCAGGAAACUGGGGCUAAUACCGGAUAGGAGCUCCUGCUGCAUGGAGGGGGUUGGAAAGUUUCGGCGGGUGGGGAUGGACUCGCGGCUUAUCAGCUUGUUGGUGGGGUAGUGGCUUACCAAGGCUUUGACGGGUAGCCGGCCUGAGAGGGUGACCGGCCACCUUGGGCCUGAGGUACGGACCAGACUCGUACGGGAGGCAGCAGUGGGGAAUAUUGCACAGUGAGCGCAAGCCUGAUGCAGCAACGCCGCGGUCGGAAAGACGGCCUGCGGGUUGUAAACCGCUUUCGCCUGUGACGAAGCGUGAGUGACGGUAAUGGGUAAAGAAGCACCGGCUAACUACGUG